rnacentral:snRNA from 1 species
AGACUUUCCUCGCAAGGGAGAUACCAGGAUCACGAAGGUGGUCUUCCCAGCGAGAGGCUUAUCCAUGGCACGGAGGGUCAGUGGACCCUAGCGAUUUCCCCAAAUGCUCCAAAAGGGACACAUAAUUAGUGGUAGUGGGGGGGAAGCAUCAUGCUCUCCCACG